AACGUAGGGGGCGAGCGUUGCCCGGAUUUACUGGGCGUAAAGCGCGCGUAGGCGGCUGCGUAAGUGGGGAGUUAAAGCCCUCGGCUCAACCGAGGACAUGCUCCUCAACCUGCGCGGCUUGAGUGUAGGAGAGGGGAGUGGAAUUCCCGGUGUAGCGGUGAAAUGCGUUGAUAUCGGGAGGAACACCGGUGGCGAAAGCGCGCAACUGGGCCCUAACUGACGCUGAGGUACGAAAGCUAGGGCAGCGAAUGGG
rnacentral:rRNA from 1 species